AACGCAUAUUGCGCUUUCUGGUAUCCCCAGGGAGCAUGCUUGUCUGAGGGUCGGUAAAACAAAUCAUCGAGACUAUUUUGAUGGUCGAUGGGUGUUGAUCCGGGUAGCCUCUUUGGGGAUUAAACCGGUCACCUGAAAUAAUAGGCAUCCGCACCGUUUAGCGGACUCGUGUAGUAACUCUGCUUAAAGCAACGACUCACGAUUAGGCGACGGAAAGCGAGAAGCCCAUUCUUUGGUUUUUUUUAAAACCAAUGCGUCUCUGGCGCACUCUUCGUAUUCUCGACCUCAGAUCAAGCAAGACUACCCGCUGAACUUAA
rnacentral:misc_RNA from 1 species